rnacentral:rRNA from 1 species
GAUGAACGCUGGCGGCGUGCCUAAUACAUGCAAGUCGAGCGAACAGACGAGGAGCUUGCUCCUCUGACGUUAGCGGCGGACGGGUGAGUAACACGUGGAUAACCUACCUAUAAGACUGGGAUAACUUCGGGAAACCGGAGCUAAUACCGGAUAAUAUAUUGAACCGCAUGGUUCAAUAGUGAAAGACGGUUUUGCUGUCACUUAUAGAUGGAUCCGCGCCGCAUUAGCUAGUUGGUAAGGUAACGGCUUACCAAGGCAACGAUGCGUAGCCGACCUGAGAGGGUGAUCGGCCCCCCUGGACCUGAGCCACGGUCCAGCCCCCUACGGGAGGCAGCAGUAGGGAAUCUUCCGCAAUGGGCGAAAGCCUGACGGAGCAACGCCGCGUGAGUGAUGAAGGCCUUCGGUUCGUAAAACUCUGUUAUUAGGGAAGAACAAAUGUGUAAGUACCUAUGCACGUCUUGACGGUACCUAAUCAGAAAGCCACGGCUAACUACGU